CCCUUAGAUGUCCUGGGCCGCACGCGCGCUACACUGAUGCAUUCAACGAGUUUUACCUUGGCCGAGAGGCCUGGGCAAUCUUUUAAACCUGCAUCGUGAUAGGGAUAGAUUAUUGCAAUUAUUAAUCUUGAACGAGGAAUUCCUAGUAAACGCAGAUCAUCAAUCUGCAUUGAUUACGUCCCUGCCCUUUGUACAAACCGCCCGUCGCACCUACCGAUUGAAUGGUCCGGUGAAGCCUCGGGAUUGUGGCCAGUUCACUUUAUUGGGAGUUGGCUGCGAGAACUUGUCUAAACCUUAUCAUUUAGAGGAAGGUGAAGUCGUAACA
rnacentral:rRNA from 1 species